rnacentral:rRNA from 1 species
UGGGGAAUAUUGCACAAUGGGCGCAAGCCUGAUGCAGCCAUGCCGCGUGUGUGAAGAAGGCCUUCGGGUUGUAAAGCACUUUCAGCGGGGAGGAAGGCGUUAAGGUUAAUAACCUUGGCGAUUGACGUUACCCGCAGAAGAAGCACCGGCUAACUCCGUGCCAGCAGCCACGGUAAUACGGAGGGUGCAAGCGUUAAUCGGAAUUACUGGGCGUAAAGCGCACGCAGGCGGUCUGUCAAGUCGGAUGUGAAAUCCCCGGGCUUAACCUGGGAACUGCAUUGGAAACUGGAAGGCUAGAGUCUUGUAGAGGGAGGUAGAAUUCCAGGUGUAGCGGUGAAAUGCGUAGAGAUCUGGAGGAAUACCGGUGGCGAAGGCGGCCCGCUGGACAAAGACGGACGCUCAGGUGCGAAAGCGAGGGGAGCAAACGGG